GAUGAACGCUGGCGGCGUGCCUAAUACAUGCAAGUCGAGCGAACAGACGAGGAGCUUGCUCCUCUGACGUUAGCGGCGGACGGGUGAGUAACACGUGGAUAACCUACCUAUAAGACUGGGAUAACUUCGGGAAACCGGAGCUAAUACCGGAUAAUAUAUCGAACCGCAUGGUUCAAUAGUGAAAGACGGUUUUGCUGUCACUUAUAGAUGGAUCCGCGCCGCAUUAGCUAGUUGGUAAGGUAACGGCUUACCAAGGCAACGAUGCGUAGCCGACCUGAGAGGGUGAUCGGCCACACUGGAACUGAGACACGGUCCAGACUCCUACGGGAGGCAGCAGUAGGGAAUCUUCCGCAAAGGGCGAAAGCUUGACGGAGCAACGCCGCGGGAGUGAUGAAGGUCUUCGGAUCGUAAAACUCUGUUAUUAGGGAAGAACAAAUGUGUAAGUAACUAUGCACGUCUUGACGGUACCUAAUCAGAAAGCCACGGCUAACUACGUG
rnacentral:rRNA from 1 species